AUUUAAAUACAUAUUAUGUUAUAGUUCAAC
rnacentral:other from 1 species